GACGAACGCUGGCGGCGUGCCUAACACAUGCAAGUCGUGCGAGAAAGUUCCUUCGGGAGCGAGUAAAGCGGCGCACGGGUGAGUAACACGUAGGUAACCUGCCCCCCAGUCUGGAACAACUAGAGGAAACUCUAGCUAAUGCCGGAUGAGACCACGAUCCCUUCGGGGGUUGCGGCCAAAGAUGGCCUCUACUUGUAAGCUAUCGCUGAGGGAUGGGCCUGCGGGCCAUUAGCUUGUUGGUGAGGUAACGGCUCACCAAGGCUGUGAUGGCUAGCUGGUCUGAGAGGAUGACCAGCCACACUGGGACUGAGACACGGCCCAGACU
rnacentral:rRNA from 1 species